rnacentral:lncRNA from 1 species
UACCUUUCAUUGAUUAAGGUGCUUUGCCUUUUAUGCGUUCAAAAUGAGAACUCAUAGAACUCACAUGCAUAAUUAACUCGAUUGGAUUGGCACAGAAACAAAAUAAUGUCAACACGAUAGGUUGUAAACCUCAACUCGUGUGCUAGUGAUGAUCGAUAAGGUUUAUUUGAUUUGUUCUUGAAACCUUUCAAGACCAUUAAGACUCCCACUGACUCCUUGACAUAUAAGAUUCUCUUGUCAAUAAACAUUUCUUGACAAACAAAUAUUCAAGAGUUAGUGUAGCUUUUAUCAAAACACUUCAUAAAUUGGUCCUAGUUGGUCUUUGUCUUAUCCAAGACAUCACAACUUUCCACAUUUGAUGAAUGUUAUAAACCUUCUUAAUACUUUUCACUCAAUGUCACAAUCUUAACUCUAAGACUUGUUUUGGAACGAAGUAUGAUUGACUUCUUGAUUUAACCAUUUCUUCAAUUCUUGAUUCCUCUUCUUAGACAUACAAUUGUACUAAGACUCACUUAGAGGAUCAAUUGAGAUAUGGUUCUUAAUCAUUAAGACCUAUCAUAAAGCAUAAAAGGUACUCUCCCUUCUUCUUAGAAUGGAGAAACUUUUAUCUUUCUGCCUACUUGAUUCUUCUUAUUCGUUCUGCUAUUGAUUUAAACUUUUUCAAUCAAUUCAGAAUUACACUUAAUCUUGUAAGUAUAAUCAUAUUUACUAAACCUUUAGUAAAUCAUGACGAAUAUCUUUGUUACUCUUAUGGUGGACUUGAUCAACACGCAACUUUGUGUACUCGAUCUCCUAGUCCUUCACUUGACACUUUGUCAAUGAAUUAGUCUAAUUUCCAAAUAUGAAAUUUCUCAUUCAUCGUGCAACCAAGUUGCAUGAUUCCAAGUUUCUGUCCAAUUGAAACUUGGGCGAUGAGAAACUCUCCCUAUUUGGUAAAUUCUCGACUUUCCAUAAAUAACAUAAUAAGAACCAAAUCCAUUAUUGCUAAUAAUAGAAACAUUCAAACAUCAAUUUUUCAUAUACGCCAUUGCAAGGAUAAAUAAAUAAUAUAAAAUCAAAAUUUAUUUUAUUGCGGAAAAAAUUUGUCCUUACAAUGCAAUUCAUUGAAAAACUAUGCUAAUACAUCUUUCUUAGCAAUCUAAUUCUAACUCUAAGUAGUAGCUCAAGAAUCUAAUCUUCGAGAAAUGCGAUCGAAAUCCAUUCCUUCACGGUUAGAUUCUGCUCACUUCUUCCCUUAAGCUUCCUUUCUUUUCUUCGAUCCUACAAAACAUCAAUUGUAAUCUUAUCACAUUAUGUAUUAAGAAUCUAGAAUAGAAGCUUAAAAGAGUUAGUUAAUGGAUUUUACCUAUAUUAGAGCCAUACGUUUCGACUCUCCCAUCUCUUAGAUCUCUUAGGUAAAUGGGGCAGCUUCGUCUCCAAUGCCCUUUCUCUUGGCAAUAAAAGCAAAUUGACUCUUUUGGAACAUGACAUGGAACUACUUCAGACAUUGCCUUUCUCUUAUGAUCAAACUUUUCGAUCAUAGCAUGUCUUUCGUUGCCAUUGUCUAUAUCCAUAGAGGUCUUGAAGGCAGAUUCACCAAUCAACUUUGCUUUUCUAUUGCGCCAAACCAUUGCUGAUUCAGCAGCAAUAAGCAUAUAGGUGAGAUCUAUAAGGGUCACGUCGCGGUUCAUCAUAUAGUACUCUCUUACGAACUCACUAUAUGAGUUAGGAAGUGACUGAAGAACCCAAUCAACAGCCAUUUCCUCACAGACAACGGAUCCCAACAUUCUUAACCUAUCAAUGUGUGACUUCAUCCCUAGGACGUGUGCACACACCGACUUUCCUUCUUUAUGUUUACUUGCCAAAAGGGCUUGAGUGAUCUUGAACUUUUCAAGCCUUUGAACUUGUGGGUUAGGGAGAAUAAUUGGAGGAGGAGGAGGAAGUGAAGCAUGAUUUCUUGUUCCUCGAUCGAAUCGUGGAAUAUCAUCUUCAUGUGGAAUGCUUGUUCCACGGGAUUUGGGAAGACCAUAGUUGUCGAACUUUGACAUCUACAAAACGGGAGAAAACGAAUUCAAGUUAGUUGAUUGAUUGAGUCCUUAGUAAAUCACCCAAAUGAGAUACUAAGGCUAGGACCCAACACAAUAUUCUACAACUCGGGAGAGGGAUGCCGUAACCCUAAUUGCAGAAUAUUUGAAGGUAAGUGAAUGACGAUUCACUAAUUUCCACCAUGAAAAACGAAAAAGAAAUUUAAGUUUUAAAUCUAUGAAAACUCCUAGAUCCUUUGAGAUUCAUUGAACUUUCAAUGGCAUGUUUAAAUCUCGAUAUGCCCCUCUUGUUUGUGACUGGGAUGCCGAGGAUCACAAAGCGGGUGUGAAUAACCAUGCAAACUUACAUGGUGCCCUCACAUGUUACAGUCACCUAUUCGAUGUGCCGGUAAACCACACACGCUCCACCGAACUAUGACAAACAUUGAGUCACCCUUUGCUACCUUUGCUUAGAACCAUUUAGUGUGCCGGUAAACCACACACGCUCCACUAACGUCUUCGCAAGGGCACAAAGUGUAAUUUCAUGGAAUUGCAUCAAUUCACUUUUGCCUAAGUAACUAAGAUUGGGAAUUUUAUGAAAACAUUUAGUUACUUUAAUAAUUCAUUAUACUUAUAAUGGAAGGUUUCGUCCUAUCCUACCCGUUCGGCUAACGACCCUCCACUAGUCAAGAGUGCGGUGGGUAAGAGUGGAUACCCAUUCAAUCGCCAUUUUAUAGGCAAUUUCCUUAAACACCCCUUAUAGACCAGCUUCGUGAAUGAGGCCUACUAACGGUAAGACUGACUUUUACUCAUACAUAUAUAUAAUGUUAGACUUUUAAUGUUAUAUAUAGUAUAGGGUGUAUUUUAUACUUUCAAAAUACUAGGUGGUCUAAUUUAACAAUUAUACUUUUAAUUCAAUUAAAUUGUAAACCUAAACUUUUAUGGAUUUAUUAAACCUCUUUUAAUUAUACACCUUAAUUAAUUAAUAAAACCAUAAGGGUGUGAUUUGAACUUUUUCAAAACUAUACUAGAGUUUUAGAAUUUAACAUUCCUAAUUAAACUUUUAAUCAACUUUUAAAUUCCAAAACUUGAGGGCAAGUUUUGAAACAUUUCAACACAUUAGGGUUUAGAAUUUAAAUAUACAUCAAAAUUAAACCAUUUAAUCAAAAUUUAAAUUCCAAAACUUGAGGGCAAGUUUUGAAACCUUUUUCAAAACAUUAGGGUUUUAACUAUUUAAAUUUCAAAACAACAAAACUUUUGGGUUCAAAUUUAAACUAUAAAACCUAAAGGGGAAAAUAUGAAACUUUUCAUAACAACAAGGAUCAAAUAACAAAUAAUCUAAAUUAACAUUUAAUCACAUAAUUAUCCAUAUUUGAUUUAUUUAAUGAUUUCUUGCAAAACAAUUUAUCAAUUUAGUCAAAAUAAUUAAUCAAUUAUCACAUAAGGAAACAAUUAUCUUAUUAAUUGAUAAAUAUCUUCAAUUAGAUCAAGAAUAUAGUCAAAUAUAUCAUAAAAUCGGAUUUAUAUUGAUCUAAUAUGAUAAGGUAACUAUCCCAAAGCAAAAACAGCAAGAAAUCCCGAGAUAUGCUCCAUCUGACGAGUUGACUCGUCGAGUCAAGCUUGGACUCGUCGAGUCUGCAUGGACUCGGCGAGUUCAGCUAUGGACUCGGCGAGUCCAGCCUCCAGAAACCAAAAAAUCGAAUUUUUCAAACAUAUCAAGCAUCAAUACAAUAGAAACCAAUCUAGGCUCUGAUACCACUGAUGGGUUUUGGUCAUAAGACAUCCUAUGUGCUCAUACAAACCCUAAUGCUUGGAUCUAGGUUUCUCUAUUGUACAUGCUUUGAAUCCAAGACUAUAAACCCUAAUUCUAGCAUAUGGAAAUCAAUAUUAACAUAUAAUUAGGUUUAUGAUAUUACCUUGAUUGUUAUGUAGCAAUAACAAUCCCAAUUCCUCCUUGAAUUGACUUUGGAAGGCUUAGAGUCACAAGUGUCACUCCUCUAAUGGUUCACAAACACCAUAAGCAAGAGGAUGAAGAGGAGAGAGGAUGGAGGCUGCCAAAACCGUGUGAAAACCCUAGCAAGAAGCUUAGCCACGUUUUUGGUCCUUAAGGGAUCUAUAUAUAGUGAGGCAAUUAGGGUUAUCUAACAAGGAAACCCUAAUUUGGAUGCUUAAGCCCUAAGCAACCCAUGGAGCCCUUUCCUUAAGGCCUUGGACGAUUUCAUAUGGGCUUCCCCCAUAGAAUUCGUCCACCUUAUAAUAUAAGGCAAUCCAUGGCCCAAAUUGCAAUUAUCUUAUAAUUACAAUUCCAGUCCCUUAAGUUUAAUUAAUCUCUUUUAGUCACAAAACUAAUUACCAAUUAAUUAUUGACUAAUAUUAAUUAAACAAUAUGAUUUCUCCUUUAAUAUAUUAUUCUCAUAAUAUAUUAAUAAAUCAUAUUUAAUCCUUUCUCUCCAUAAUUCAUCCUAUCAAGUUGCUUUGGUGAAGGCAACCCAAAAGGACCAUGCACCAUCGGGUCAAGUACAUACCAAAAUAGUUAUGGACUUAGACACUAAUCCAACAGUCUCCCACUUGGAUAAGUCUAAUAACUAUUAUGCGUAUGACUUCAGAUCCUGAUCUGCAAUCGUAGCUUUCCAAAGCCGCUGUCAACUCUGAUCCUAUCAGAUACGCGUGUCCUUAGAUAAGGGAUCAUAUAUUCCUCCAUUCUAGAUAUCAUAUGAGAUAUGAUUUCAAAUCAUUCUCUUUGUACUAUAUCUCGAUUCCCGAUUUAUGACGACUGACUAAUUGAACAAAUCAAAUUAGCCCUAGCCCGGCCGAGCAUUUACGUUUGUCAUCACUAAAUCAUCGAGGGGCCCAAAGAUAUCGCUUUUAUCCUACUUUGGAUAAAAGGAACGGAUAAACUUUGAUACAAUGCUUGCUUGCACUCACUCACCGAAUCACACACAACAAUAUGUUUUAUAACACCAAGUUACUAGUGCGUUUACAUAUUAUCAAUGUGCAACCGAUUUGCAAGAUACAACUCACACAUCUCGGUUUCAAGAAUAUAAGAUGUUAUCGUCUCACCAAUCACUCGUGAUACAAUUCAUGGAGUGAUCCAAGUGAGCGUGGGUUUAAUCCAAUGCUCAAAUCAUAUUCAUAAGCACUCAUGAACGUUGCAGCAAACAUUUGCUUAUGUCUAAUACUCUUUUAGACAAUCCACACACCAAUUCACGACAGUCUUCAUUCAUAUCUACUUCCAACAUAUGAACGACUGUGGCCCGUUCGAAUAAUUCGAUUAUUCUUAAUAAAUUCAAUUAUUCUGGAAGUCAAAACAUGCAAAUGUGAAACACAAGAAUAAUACUAAUCCCAUAUGGCCUCAAACCUUUGAGUAUAAAUAAAACUCCUUUUAUUUAUCACCAUAUCGAUUACUCAUUAUUUGUCGUUUCGGGUAAUCAACUUCUUACUUGAAUUAUUACACUUGUCCCAUGCUCUUAGCAUGCACACAAUGUUUACCUAUGGUUCUUACUUUUGUGAAAUAGAUCAAAUUGAACACAUUUCCAAUCAUUCUCAUUUCACAACUCCAAAUCCUUUUUCAUAAGUGUGAGAAUAUCAAAUUCUUGUUACUUAUAAAAUAUGCUAGAUUCUAACAUUCUAUGCAAUGAUCCUUUCGUAAUGUCACUGCACCAAAGUCACAAAGACUAUUGCCAAUGAUAUUACAAAGUCCUCUAUCGGAGAUUGUUACAAGACAAUUCCUUAGAUAUGAUGUCUCUCACUCAAAGUACAUUCCUUUGAACAUCCUUUUGCAUAAAAGUUUCUAAUCUAGACAUAGAUUUUCAAUAUUCAAUUCCCAAUAUGGACACGUUUCCAUAUUUUCCAUAUGACAACUCAUUCUUAAUAGAAUCUUAUCUAUUCGUAAUGAUGUCGAUAUGGUCCAUCCAAUAUGGAAACAUUUCCAUAAUUUCCAUAUGACAACUCAUUCUUAAUAGAAUCUUUUCUAUUCAUAAUAAUGUCGAUAUGGUCCAUCCAAUACCAUGCUUCCAACUACUCACAAGCGACCAAUCCUCGUCGAACUUUGGAUUGUCCUUUGAUAGUUGUUUAAUUAUUUUAGUCAAAACCAAUUCUAGUCCCUUUUCCCUCUAAAUGCGCUCGACAUUUGGAAAAUUUUAGAAUGGUCAAACAUUAAAGCAUUUGCAAUCGAUCCUAUACCCGAAGCGUAUGGGACACGACGCAUAAUGUUUUAUUUGCUAUGUUCUCAAAAUUCGAAUUGUGAAGAGGAAUGCCGUAAUCAUAAUCGAAAUUUUAAGAACACACUAUGUACCUUUGACUAAAUUUAUUAACAUUUCUCAACCUAAGCCUUUAGAUUUGAAAUGAAGCAUAAUAUUCUCUCCCUUAAUUAUAGCAAAACAACUUUACAACCCUUACGACUUUGCAAGGUAUAACUCUUGUUUUCUAUAAUUAAUAUUGCCAACUUGCAAUACGUGCCUUAAUAAUCAUACAAUCAUAACAUUUAUGCUCCCACUAUCAUGAUGAUUAUUAUAAAACAUAACACUUAUGCUCCCACUAGCUUCGACAUGUAUUCAUAAACAUCUUAACUUUCAGAAAAACAAUACUUAUUGAAUUUCUUAAGUUCAUGUUUCUAAUACUUAGUGCUUUGAUAAUCUUUUAUCAAGGCUUCUUGAACUUAUACACCUUUGCCUUCGAUAGUUCAUAUGUGUGUCUAAACAAUUAAGACUAAUUGCCAAACCUCACAAUUCAAAUUAUGGAAAGGGAUACCGUAACCAUAAUCGAAUUCGAGAAUGCAAUUUUACAAUCACUAUCUUCUUAAAAUCUUUCUUAGUGAAAGCAUUUCCUCACAAUCAUUUUCAUGAAGGAGGAAAUCUUAUGACACUUAGAUUUAAACGGUGUAUGUGUUCCUAUCCAUGUGAAUUUGUUAAAACCAAAGUUUACGACAAAUUCAAACUCAUAUGGACCGAACUUUCUUAAUCUUGAUUUCUUGCCUUAUGGUAGCACAGCUGCCCACCAUGUCUUCCAAGUAGUUAAGCAGCUCACCCUUUCCUAUCAAUGUACCUUUCAUUGAUUAAGGUGCUUUGCCUUUUAUGCGUUCAAAAUGAGAACUCAUAGAACUCACAUGCAUAAUUAACUCGAUUGGAUUGGCACAGAAACAAAAUAAUGUCAACACGAUAGGUUGUAAACCUCAACUCGUGUGCUAGUGAUGAUCGAUAAGGUUUAUUUGAUUUGUUCUUGAAACCUUUCAAGACCAUUAAGACUCCCACUGACUCCUUGACAUAUAAGAUUCUCUUGUCAAUAACCAUUUCUUGACAAACAAAUAUUCAAGAGUUAGUGUAGCUUUUAUCAAAACACUUCAUAAAUUGGUCCUAGUUGGUCUUUGUCUUAUCCAAGACAUCACAACUUUCCACAUUUGAUGAAUGUUAUAAACCUUACUUUUUCACUCGAUGUCACAAUCUUAACUUUAAGACUUGUUAUUGGAACGAAGUAUGAUUGACUUAUUGAUUUAACCAUUUCUUCAAUUCUUGAUUCCUCUUCUUAGACAUACAAUUGUACUAAGACUCACUUAGAGGAUCAAUUGAGAUAUGGUUCUUAAUCAUUAAGACCUAUCAUAAAGCAUAAAAGGUACUCUCCCAUCUUCUUAGAAUGGAGAAACUUUUAUCUUUCUGCCUACUUGAUUCUUCUUAUUCGUUCUGCUAUUGAUCUAAACCCUUUAAUCAAUUCAGAAUUACACUUAAUCUUGUAAGUAUAAUCAUAUUUACUAAACCUUUAGUAAAUCAUGACGAAUAUCUUUGUUACUCUUAUGGUGGACUUGAUCAACACGCAACUUUGUGUAUUCGAUCUCCAAGUCCUUCACUUGACACUUUGUCAAUGAAUUAGUCUAAUUUCCAAAUAUGAAAUUUCUCAUUCAUCGUGCAACCAAGUUGCAUGAUUCCAAAUUUCUGUCCAAUUGAAACUU